rnacentral:rRNA from 1 species
GUCUGCGCCUAUGCCACUCUGAGCAAGCCUGAUUCCGUCUGAUCUUGUAAGCUAAGCAGGGUCUGGCCUGGUUAGUACUUGGAUGGGAGACCACCUAGGAAAACCAGGUGCUGUAGGCA